UCCAGGAGUGAUAGGAGUUUACAGUAAGGUGUUGUGUUAUCCAGGAGUGAUAGGAGUUUACAGUAAGGUGUUGUGUUAUCCAGGAGUGAUAGGAGUUUACAGUAAGGUGUUGUGUUAUCCAGGAGUGAUAGGAGUUUACAGUAAGGUGUUGUGUUAUCCAGGAGUGAUAGGAGUUUACAGUAAGGUGUUGUGUUAUCCAGGAGUGAUAGGAGUUUACAGUAAGGUGUUGUAUUAUCCAGGAGUGAUAGGAGUUUACAGUAAGGUGUUGUGUUAUCCAGGAGUGAUAGGAGUUUACAGUAAGGUGUUGUGUUAUCCAGGAGUGAUAGGAGUUUACAGUAAGGUGUUGUGUUAUCCAGGAGUGAUAGGAGUUUACAGUAAGGUGUUGUGUUAUCCAGGAGUGAUAGGAGUUUACAGUAAGGUGUUGUGUUAUCCAGGAGUGAUAGGAGUUUACAGUAAGGUGUUGUGUUAUCCAGGAGUGAUAGGAGUUUACAGUAAGGUGUUGUGUUAUCCAGGAGUGAUAGGAGUUUACAGUAAGGUGUUGUGUUAUCCAGGAGUGAUAGGAGUUUACAGUAAGGUGUUGUGUUAUCCAGGAGUGAUAGGAGUUUACAGUAAGGUGUUGUGUUAUCCAGGAGCGAUAGGAGUUUACAGU